UAAUAGUUGGACCGCGGAGAAAACACCGCAACACCGUUAAUUCGUGGUGGUGAUUGUCCGAUGAAAGACAAGAAGAAGAGGAAGAAAGUAACGGCCUUGGUGAGAGAUAAAGAACAUCUCAGUUUGGGCAUCUGUUUUCUCUUUUAUGCUUGAUUUGUUUGUUUGUUGAAUAAGGGCAAUUCAUUUCACUCUCUUUUUGGCACUCAUCUUAGGAGGAAUAUUGGAUUUCUUCCAGACAAUUGGUGCCUGCAUUUUUUUUUCUCAUCUCAUUCUUUUGUGACAAUUUUUUUCCUGUAUUAAAACAGACUUAUUAGACUGCCAAGUCAAUACCCAUGACUUUCCCUAAUGCAACUCAUAAUCCUAAAAUAGACCAAUAUUGCAACUAUUAUUAAAUAGACUAAUAAUGUAAAUAAAGUUGGCUGCCCUCCAGCCAGUUGAGCAAUCGACUGCAACUAUUGCUUAUUCAAAAAUAUGGAGAAAUUUUGGUUUACCCUUGAAGAAUUUUUGGAAAUCUUCGAAUUCAAUAAGAUAAUGUAUCUGUUUGUGUUGGUAAAGGGUGUAAAGCUGGUCAUGGAUGAUUUGUGAGGUUCUCUUAGGAUUUUUUUUGGAUGAAAUGGAAACUGUCAAAAAACAAUGAUGGAAGAAUAAAUUAGCACACGCCAUAACUGCAAUAAUAGUACUAAAUAAAUAAAAUUGUACAAAAAUAAAACUUACAUGAAUAAACUCUGAGAUGCUUGUAACUGAA